CCUAAAUGAUCCUUAACAGAAUUUUGAGGCACUGCCUUCAGUCUUCCUGUAGUCUUCAUAAAGGGACUUACAGUCAUGUUCUUGGAUUCAUCUUUACAUGGAUCCAAGUAGCACUACAGUUUUGAUAUUAUCCCAUAGGCCAUUUAUUUUAGCAUUAUUUGACAGUUUGAUGUGUGGCGAUAACUACAAAUGGGAAAAAGAUAUUUGAACCCAAUAAUUCUUGAUUCCUUUAUUUAAUAAUCUUUCUUUAGCUUUUCUUUCAUGUCAGUUUUACUUUCAAGUGCUAUGUAUCAAGAUUCUUCUUUCUAGGUUUCAGUAUUUUUUCUUCAUUGGCUUUGAAGCCCUUUCUGUAGUCUCUUUUGGGGCCAUCAGGCUUCCUAAUAAUCGCUUUGAAAGACUUUUUGGCUUUUCUUUUUGUUUCUUUUUUCUAGGUCCUUUCUACUUCUCCCUACCUCCUGAUUCUACAUAUUUUUGUUUGCUGCUGUUUUUAAUAGUGGCAACUCAUAUUUAAUGUCAGUAUCUAGGUCAGUUAUUGGUAUAUAAUAAACCACCUCAAAAUUCAGUGUCUCAAACAUUUAUUUUGCUAACAAUCUGCAGUUCAGGCAAGGUUCAGUGAUGCUCUCUCCUUUCUUCUCCACUUAGAAUUAGCUGGGGUGACCUGAAGCUGGGGAGUUUAACCAUGCUUGUUCUUUCACAUGUCUGACAGUUGAAUAUGGCUUUUAACUAGGCCUUUAGCACAGUAAAUCAACUAGACCACCUAC
rnacentral:lncRNA from 1 species